GACGAACCGUGCGAACGUUGUUCGGAAUAACUGGGCUUAAAGGGCGCGUAGGCGGGCUGUCCAGUCUGGGGUGAAAUCCCGCGGCUCAACCGUGGAACUGCCUCAGAUACUGACGGCCUCGAGGGAGAUAGGGGCAUGCGGAACUGUAGGUGGAGCGGUGAAAUGCGUUGAUAUCUACAGGAACUCCGGUGGCGAAGGCGGCGUGCUGGAUCUCUUCUGACGCUGAGGCGCGAAAGCUAGGGGAGCAAACGGG
rnacentral:rRNA from 1 species